rnacentral:rRNA from 1 species
GUUUGAUCCUGGCUCAGAAUGAACGCUGGCGGCGUGCCUAACACAUGCAAGUCGCACGAGAAAGUCUGCCUUCGGGCGGGCGAGUAAAGUGGCGCACGGGUGAGUAACGCGUAGGUAAUCUACCCCCGGAACCGGGAUAACAGUGCGAAAGUGCUGCUAAUACCGGAUACGAUCUUUUGGCGGGAGCUGAAAGGUGAAAAGUCGGCCUCUCGAAGAAGCCGGUGCUCGGGGAUGAGCCUGCGUCCUAUCAGCUAGUUGGCAGGGUAACGGCCUACCAAGGCGACGACGGGUAGCUGGUCUGAGAGGAUGAUCAGCCACACUGGCACUGAAACACGGGCCAGACUCCUACGGGAGGCAGCAGUGAGGAAUUUUGCGCAAUGGGAGCAAUCCUGACGCAGCAACGCCGCGUGGGUGAUGAAGG